CCCACGUGCUUCAGUCUAGGAGGAAUGGACAAGAUCCUGACAGCAUCGUUUUUACUGCUAGGCCUUCACCUGGCUGGGGUGAGUGGCCAGCAGGAGAGACGUGACCAGCAGCAGGUAAAACAAAGUCCCAUAUCUCUGACAGUCUGGGAAGGAGGACCCACAUUUCUGAGCUGCAGUUAUGAGGACAGUGCUUUUGACUACUUCCCAUGGUAUCAGCAGUUCCCUGGGGAAGGCCCUGUACUCCUGAUAGCCAUACGAUCAGUGUCCAAUAAAAAGAAAGAUGGACGAUUCACAGUCUUCCUCAGGAAAAGUGAGAAACAGCUCUCCUUGCACAUCGAAGACUCUCAGCCUGGAGACUCAGCCACCUACUUCUGUGCAGCAAGGGCACAGUGCUCUCCACACACCUGCAGCCCAGACCCAAACCUGCAGCUGAGGCUCCAGCAAAGCCCUGCUGCGGGCUGAGCCUGGCAGAGAUGCACAGGAGUUGUCAUUUGCAGGAGCAGGUGAAGGGGUCACUCAGUGAGUGUGAGGAUUAGACCAUUGGUCCAGAGACAGACCAAGCUGGAGUCAUGGCUUGUUUUCUCCUGUCUCCCUCAAGAGCAGCUGGCGUCUUCCAUCCAUUCCCUUAGCUAGUUUAGAUGAACCACUUUGCUGCGUAGUUGUAUAAAUAGUUCUUUGUGUGAUUGGUUUGUGGCAACUAUAAAUUACAGAGUCCCUGUUUCCCUGCACUGUUGUCAACAGUGUUCUGAAUGUGUGGUGUUACAGUGCAGUGUCAGGAGGCAAUGACUUUGAUCCUGGGAUAGGAAUCACAUAGAGCUUUCUUUUACCUUAAUUUCCUCUGAUGACCAGAGUAGUGGUGAUUCACAUGACCACUUCCUCUUGUUUUGCCUCUCAUAUCAUCAUCUACCUCCAACAAAUUCAAGUAUGCAAAGCAGGAGGUUUUCACAAGGAUGCAGUCAUGUCUACAAUAGACAGAAGACAUCAGUGGGGAAUGAAGAAUUCAAUUUCCUCAUAUAAUGAAAAUGCAUAACCUUCACUAAAGAAAUGAUUUCACAUGUAUAUUUCAUAGAUGAACAAAAUAUAAAGUGGAUGUAAAACUCCUAUCAUAUAAAAUCAGCUCCCAUCUGUACGGCCAUCUGCAAUGCACAGAAUUGAAAAAGGACCUCUUAUUGCAUAACACUUUGCAAGGUUUACUCAUUUGGUGCUGUAGAAAUGCCAACCAGAUUUCUAAUGGAAAAACUUUCAUUGUCUUAUACGUUUAAAUAGUUUCUUGUCACAGAGUUGAUGUGACAAGAUGGAAGCCAAGUGAGAAGGAAUGUGAGCCUAGGAUUGGGAAUCUAGCCUUAGCAACACAGUGGAACUCUGUCUCAGGAGAACAAAAUGAACAAAAACACUGUGGAAGAUAUUUAAUUUAAGAAUGUGAAUGCUAU